AUCUCUUUUGAGAUAUCAGAUAAAAUUGAAAUUGGAUCAGAGAAGAUUAACAUGAUCUCAUGUAAGGAUGACACGCACAAAUCGAUAAAUGGUACUCUAGAAAAUUUG